rnacentral:rRNA from 1 species
UACGAAGGGGGCUAGCGUUGCUCGGAAUUACUGGGCGUAAAGCGCACGUAGGCGGAUUGUUAAGUCGGGGGUGAAAUCCUGGAGCUCAACUCCAGAACUGCCUUCGAUACUGGCGAUCUAGAGUCCGGGAGAGGUGAGUAGAACUGCGAGUGUAGAGGUGAAAUUCGUAGAUAUUCGCAAGAACACCAGUGGCGAAGGCGGCUCACUGGCCCGGUACUGACGCUGAGGUGCGAAAGCGUGGGGAGCAAACAGG